CCCGCGCCCGCCCGCCGGCCCGCGUGCUGCAGCCGCCGCGGCCCGGGCGGGGCCGGGGGUGGGGGUGGGUUCGCUGGUUUGGAGGGUGGGUGGGGUUGGCUGUUUCUGGAAAGCUCAGCGGAGCUAAUCUAAUCUUCCAAGGCGCGUCCGCUGCCCGAGAGCAGCGCUCACAGUCCGCAGCGCCGGGAGGGCUCCGCGGCCUCCCCCUCCCGGCUCAGUAGAUCCAGAUCGUGUGAGUCUCUUUUAUUCCCGUUUUGCACGUGAGGCCACGGAGGCCGGGAUAGACCAGGAUCGCACACGUCUUGGGGGCCUACUCCGGACUCAAACCUACGUCUCUGUGACUCCAAAACUCAUAUUAUACUAUGACCUAGUAUUUGCUGGUGUAAGACGAAUGGUUCCGUUUUAGCGCAGAUGCAAGCGCCACCUUAUUUGGAGGACAGGCAGGUAGAUCUGCAGCUGUAAAACCCGAGGCCCCGAGGCGGGCUUGCACAGCUCCCCUGGCUCUCCGUCCACGUCCACGUCUCUGCUGUCCACUGCUCCUAGAGCACCUUUCGACUCUUGGAAACAGGAACUGCCAGUUAAAAAGAAUACUACCUAUUUUAUUGAGCCUGAAGGGUUGAGGACAUCACAGACCAGAGGACGAGGCCCGGAGGGAUGGGACUUUGUCUGCUGCCCUCUCGCAUCCCGACUGGUACACCUCAGUGAACAAUCUGUAAUGGACACAGUGCAUACAGCAAGGCCCUACUGCAAACCCGCGGAUGCAAAGCCUCUGAGAACCUCUCAGACACGGAAGGGGCCACGAGGCUU
rnacentral:lncRNA from 1 species